AAGAAGCUGAUGAAUGAUGAUGAGCUGCCUGUUCUUCUCCGGCCUCCGCGCAACGAAAAGGAAGGAAGGAAGGUGCACGGUCUUCCUGGAUAGAAUUAGGAUGCGGGCAGGAGAGUUUGCGUGCGGGCGCAGCCGCGCUUGGAUGUACGAGUAGCAGGCAAGAGAGCUAGCAGGGCAGGUGUGUGGUGGUCCAAUGCCAUUGCCAAAGCCCAAGAGGAUCGAUGGGUCACUAUUACCAACCACUGGAUUGCCAGCGGCGCCCCGAGAGGGGCGACACGUACGCCGUGGUUCCGACCCGGUCGGAUCAAAGCCAGAUCGGCUCGCUUUGUAGUAGUAGUAGUAAGCAAUUUUCCCUUGCUUGAACCUUUUCAAGGCAGAGCUUAUCUCGAGUAGAGUACGUACCGUUCUUGGUCUGGUAUACAUAGAUGCGUAGGGCACACGCACACUUACGCCAGCUCGUUAAUGACUAUUUCAACUACCUGUCUUCACUAGUUUUUAGAAAACUGAUUGUCGAUAGGUCUCGUACUGUCGACAACUAGUCGGAAUCAACUCCAACUAGUCGGCUUCAUCAACAACCGUCGCAGCUUCAUCGACAAUCGUCCAUGAAUCAAACUAAGUUAUUUUUUUAAUAAUUAUUUUUCUCUAGCUUGUUUUUAGCAUGGUUGGUGAAUGCGCCGACUACUUUUUUGUGUACGCCUCUAGAUGGAAAUUACCCUUCAGAGCUACAUUUUGCCAAUUAUUCCUAGGGCAUGUUAACCGACAUGUAUGGGUUUGGUACACUAAAUUAUGGAGGCUAUAGCCACAAAACCUGAGUUCCGGAAGCUCCGUCAAUGAGUUUGGUACAUCGAAUUUCGGAGCUAUGGUCAUGAGUUUGGUGCACUGAGUAUUGGAGGCUCGCAGCGGCUACACCCUAAGGAGGUACAAAUCCCAUGCGCGGCAAACACACGCUCUCCUCGCCGAAAGGCAGAAAAGUCUCAAUGACUACUUUAUGCGCAAUCGCACUCUCUUUUUAUCGCAAUGUCGACUGCUUAUUUUAAAUAUCUUCUCUUAGCGGUCACUAAUCUUCUUGAGCAGAACACACCUUGAUUCGUGAAAGCUUCGGAUCUUCUUUUCACGGAUCUUCUAUCAUGCCUAAACGCUAGGAUGCGAGACAAAGAUCUCCGUAGCAACAGUGCCACUACACGUACACGAGACAAAGAUCUUACAUGCAGUGAUAAUGACUAAACAGGGACUGGAAGCCUAAACGUAACAGACUAACUACUCGAGAAAAAUAUGAAUGAAACAAGAGCAUGACACACAACAUUUACAUUACAUUUAUCAUUGAAUAAAUUUCAGUAGUUCCAAAUUCUACAACUACGCUACAUAAUGUAUGCAUCUCUUUUUGCAGGUCAAGUUUCGACGACGACUUACCAAGACGCUCAACGUACCUCCAAUGGCUCCGCUAGCUCUCAGCUCAACGGCUAAGUGCCAAUUGCUACUCAGAAUACCUCCAAUGCAAGGAUCUUGAUGUCGCCUAUGGGGUGAAUAAGUGUAACCUGAAAAUGUCGCCACUUAAAACAAGUUUAUCAGCGACUUGCGGAUUUUUUCAAAAAUAUCCGCAAAUUACGGAAUCUCUGAAGAAAUCUUCGGAAUUUCCGAAGAUAGAAAACACAUGCAUUAAGCAGUGGACUAAAACUCUGUCUGCUUGAAAAUCGGAACUUCCGGUUUCCAAAACAAAGAACUUCUGGUUUUGGCUCGAUCAGAAAAAAAC
rnacentral:lncRNA from 1 species